UACGAAGGGGGCAAGCGUUGUUCGGAAUUACUGGGCGUAAAGCGCGCGUAGGCGGCCUUGUAAGUUAGAGGUGAAAGCCCGGGGCUCAACCACGGAACUGCCUUUAAGACUGCAAGACUAGAAUCCGGGAGAGGUAAGCGGAAUUCCGAGUGUAGAGGUGAAAUUCGUAGAUAUUCGGAAGAACACCAGUGGCGAAGGCGGCUUACUGGACCGGUAUUGACGCUGAGGUGCGAAAGCGUGGGGCGCAAACAGG
rnacentral:misc_RNA from 1 species